GUGCCAGCAGCCGCGGUAAUACGAAGGGUGCAAACGUUAUUCGGAAUCACUGGGCGUAAAGGGUGCGUAGACGGUAUGUUAAGUUCGUCGUUAAAGACUCCGGCCUAACCGGAGCACCGCGAUGAAAACUGGCGUACUAGAGGGUGAGAGAGAGAAGUGGAAUUCCUGGAGUAGCGGUAAAAUGCGUGGAUCUCAGGAGGAACACCAAUGGCGAAGGCAGCUUCUUGGCUCAUUCCUGACGUUGAGGCACGAAAGCGUGGGGAGCAAACAGGAUUAGAUACCCUCGUAGUCC
rnacentral:rRNA from 1 species